rnacentral:lncRNA from 1 species
GAACAUUUCGCCUUCAGCAAUGAUGGGACUACACUUGCAAUAGCAUCAUCAUAUAUGUAUGAAAUGGAUGACACGGAACAUCCUGAAGAUGGUAUCUUCAUUCGCCAAGUGACAGAUGCAGAAACAAAACCCAAGUCCACCUAAUCAUCUCAUGAAAAUGGUUUCUCUAUGGCAAGCUUUGUUUGCUUCCUACAAAUACAUGCUUAUCCCCUAAGGGAUGUGUUAGAGUCA